rnacentral:rRNA from 1 species
GAGUGAAGAGGAAAGAGCUCAAAGUUGGAAACUGUUUGGCUUAGCUAAACCGUAUUGUAAACUGUAGAAACAUUUUCCUGGCACACCAGAUUAAUAAGUCCUUUGGAACAAGGCAUCAUGGAGGGUGAGAAUCCCGUCUUUGAUCUGAGUAGUUGUCUUUUGUGAUAUGUUUUCAAAGAGUCAGGUUGUUUGGGAAUGCAGCCUAAAUUGGGUGGUAAAUCUCACCUAAAGCUAAAUAUUUGCGAGAGACCGAUAGCGAACAAGUACCGUGAGGGAAAGAUGAAAAGAACUUUGAAAAGAGAGUUAAACAGUAUGUGAAAUUGUUAAAAGGGAACCGUUUGGAGCCAGACUGGUUUGCUUGUAAUCAACCUAGAAUUCGUUUUGGGUGCACUUGCAGGCUAUACCUGCCAACAACAGUUUGAUUUGGAGGAAAAAAUUAAUAGGAAUGUAGCCUCUCGAGGUGUUAUAGCCUAUUAUCAUACUCUGGAUUGGACUGAGGAACGCAGCGAAUGCCUUUAGGCAAGAUUGCUGGGUGCUUUCGCUAAUAAAUGUUAGAAUUUCUGCUUCGGGUGGUGCUAAUGUUUAAAGGAGGAACACAUCUAGUAUAU